rnacentral:tRNA from 1 species
AGCCCGGUCGUCUAGCGGCCAAAGGACAACCCGGCUUGGGAUGCGGGGCUUUGGACAGUGCCGCCGGCACCCACAACCCGUGGCCCGGGUUCGAAUCCCGGCCGGGCUACCA